rnacentral:lncRNA from 1 species
GUUGGAGCAGCUGAAUGGUAAGUCUAAGCAUGGUGGGAGGGGCUUUGACCAUUGAAGAAAGCAUGAAAACCGACAUCCAAGGAUCUGCUGCCUUUAGGAUAUAAUGCUAAAUAUGGUGCUUUGGAUCUUAGACCUUGCAAAUACUCUUACCUUUUGAUAUAAUGUAAUUUCAUACCAGAAUCAGAUAUGGUUUUGACUGAAUAAAUAAAAGCUGAUCUUGGAUUGUGAUCUGGUCUGAACUGCAGGUUUCUAAAUAAAAAGACUCUUCAGUGAGCUUCAUCUAUGCAGUUUCCAUUGAAAAAGCAGGUCACAGUAAGAAAGGUUAAGAACUGUUUAUUAAUGGUACAGUAAGAUGUGGGUUAUUUCUUUUGACCAGAUUGGUCAGCUACAAUUCUCUUUUGAACACACACUUAAACAUUGUACCAAUGUGUAUAUCUCCAGCUAGGUUUCUCUAGAUAUGUAGUGAAAUUAACAAUGCAUGUCAUUUCAGGCAGUUACUUCUGGCAUGGAAAUUGCAAAAGAAAGUGCCAGUUUGCCCAAACUGAACAUUGCUAGUGAAGCACUUUUCAAAUAUCAACAAACAAGGGCCAUUUGAUUCUGGUAGCCAUACUCGUAAUCAGAAGAAUAAGUCAGAGAGCAGGUAAAGAACUGCAUUCUCUUUUCCCUUUAAGCUAAAUUAAAAUAGAACUGGUGGUUAAGCGGGGCCAAAGAAUUGUGUGGCAGUGAGCCAUCCAGCAGGACGCAACACCACAGGUUCCUCUCUG